UACGGGGGGGGGCAAGCGUUGUUCGGAAUUACUGGGCGUAAAGGGCUCGUAGGCGGCCAACUAAGUCAGACGUGAAAUCCCCAGGCUCAACCUGGGAACUGCGUCUGAUACUGGAUGGCUUGAAUCCGGGAGAGGGAUGCAGAAUUCCAGGUGUAGCGGUGAAAUGCGUAGAUAUCUGGAGGAACACCGGUGGCGAAGGCGGCAUCCUGGACCGACACUGACGCUGAGGAGCGAAAGCCAGGGGAGCAAACGGG
rnacentral:rRNA from 1 species